GACGAACGCUGGCGGCGUGCUUAACACAUGCAAGUCGAACGGAAAGGCCCUGCUUUUGUGGGGUGCUCGAGUGGCGAACGGGUGAGUAACACGUGAGUAACCUGCCCUUGACUUUGGGAUAACUUCAGGAAACUGGGGCUAAUACCGGAUAGGAGCUCCUGCUGCAUGGUGGGGGUUGGAAAGUUUCGGCGGGUGGGGAUGGACUCGCGGCUUAUCAGCUUGUUGGUGGGGUAGUGGCUUACCAAGGCUUUGAGGGGUAGCCGGCCUGAGAGGGUGACCGGCCACAGUGGGUCUGAGAUGCGGCAGAGACGCAUAGGGGAGGCAGGGGGGGAGAAUAUUGCACAAGGGGCGGGAGUGUGAUGCAGCAACGCCGCGUGCGGGAUCACGGUCUUGGGGUUGAAAAGCGCUUGCGUCUGUGACGACGCGUGUGACGGUGUAAUGGGAAAAAAAGCACGCUAACACCGUG
rnacentral:rRNA from 1 species